UUGAACGCUGGCGGCAGGCCUAACACAUGCAAGUCGAGCGGUAGCACAGAGAGCUUGCUCUCGGGUGACGAGCGGCGGACGGGUGAGUAAUGUCUGGGAAACUGCCUGAUGGAGGGGGAUAACUACUGGAAACGGUAGCUAAUACCGCAUAACGUCGCAAGGCCAAAGUGGGGGACCUUCGGGCCUCAUGCCAUCAGAUGUGCCCAGAUGGGAUUAGCUAGUAGGUGGGGUAACGGCUCACCUAGGCGACGAUCCCUAGCUGGUCUGAGAGGAUGACCAGCCACACUGGAACUGAGACACGGUCCAGACUCCUACGGGAGGCAGCAGUGGGGAAUAUUGCACAAUGGGCGCAAGCCUGAUGCAGCCAUGCCGCGUGUGUGAAGAAGGCCUUCGGGUUGUAAAGCACUUUCAGCGGGGAGGAAGGCGAUAAGGUUAAUAACCUUGUCGAUUGACGUUACCCGCAGAAGAAGCACCGGCUAACUCCGUGCCAGCAGCCGCGGUAAUACGGAGGGUGCAAGCGUUAAUCGGAAUUACUGGGCGUAAAGCGCACGCAGGCGGUCUGUCAAGUCGGAUGUGAAAUCCCCGGGCUCAACCUGGGAACUGCAUUCGAAACUGGCAGGCUAGAGUCUUGUAGAGGGGGGUAGAAUUCCAGGUGUAGCGGUGAAAUGCGUAGAGAUCUGGAGGAAUACCGGUGGCGAAGGCGGCCCCCUGGACAAAGACUGACGCUCAGGUGCGAAAGCGUGGGGAGCAAACAGGAUUAGAUACCCUGGUAGUCCACGCCGUAAACGAUGUCGAUUUGGAGGUUGUGCCCUUGAGGCGUGGCUUCCGGAGCUAACGCGUUAAAUCGACCGCCUGGGGAGUACGGCCGCAAGGUUAAAACUCAAAUGAAUUGACGGGGGCCCGCACAAGCGGUGGAGCAUGUGGUUUAAUUCGAUGCAACGCGAAGAACCUUACCUGGUCUUGACAUCCACAGAACUUUCCAGAGAUGGAUUGGUGCCUUCGGGAACUGUGAGACAGGUGCUGCAUGGCUGUCGUCAGCUCGUGUUGUGAAAUGUUGGGUUAAGUCCCGCAACGAGCGCAACCCUUAUCCUUUGUUGCCAGCGGUUAGGCCGGGAACUCAAAGGAGACUGCCAGUGAUAAACUGGAGGAAGGUGGGGAUGACGUCAAGUCAUCAUGGCCCUUACGACCAGGGCUACACACGUGCUACAAUGGCAUAUACAAAGAGAAGCGACCUCGCGAGAGCAAGCGGACCUCAUAAAGUAUGUCGUAGUCCGGAUUGGAGUCUGCAACUCGACUCCAUGAAGUCGGAAUCGCUAGUAAUCGUAGAUCAGAAUGCUACGGUGAAUACGUUCCCGGGCCUUGUACACACCGCCCGUCACACCAUGGGAGUGGGUUGCAAAAGAAGUAGGUAGCUUAACCUUCGGGAGGGCGCUUACCACUUUGUGAUUCAUGACUGGGGUG
rnacentral:rRNA from 1 species